GUUCACGGCCAUGCCACCCUGAACACGCCCGAUCCCGUCUGAUCUCGGAAGCUAAGCAGGGUCAGGCCCGGUUAGUCCUUGGAUGGGAGACCACCUAGGAAGACCAGGUGCUGUAGGCA
rnacentral:rRNA from 1 species